rnacentral:rRNA from 1 species
CAAUAGCGUAUAUUAAAGUUGUUGCAGUUAAAAAGCUCGUAGUUGGAUUUCUGGUGGGAGCGAUCGGUCUGGCGCUUAGCGCGAGUACUUGCAUCGUCUCCGGCCAUCCUUGGGGAGAGUCUGUCUGGCAUUAGGUUGUCGGGCAGAGGAUCCUCAUCGUUUACUGUGAAAAAAUUAGAGUGUUCAAAGCAGGAUUAUGCCGUUGAAUAUAUUAGCAUGGAAUAAUAAGAUAGGACUUUGGUACUAUUUUGUUGGUUUGCGCACCAAAGUAAUGAUUAAUAGGGACAGUUGGGGGUAUUCGUAUUCCGUUGUCAGAGGUGAAAUUCUUGGAUUUACGGAAGACGAACUACUGCGAAAGCAUUUACCAAGGAUGUUUUCAUUAA